rnacentral:rRNA from 1 species
UACGUAGGGUGCGAGCGUUAAUCGGAAUUACUGGGCGUAAAGCGUGCGCAGGCGGUUUUGUAAGCCAGAUGUGAAAGCCCCGGGCUUAACCUGGGAAUGGCAUUUGGGACUGCAAGGCUGGAGUGCGGCAGAGGAGACUGGAAUUCCUGGUGUAGCAGUGAAAUGCGUAGAUAUCAGGAGGAACACCGAUGGCGAAGGCAGCUCGCUGGGACGGUACUGACGCUGAGGCGCGAAAGCGUGGGGAGCAAACAGG